rnacentral:misc_RNA from 1 species
AAAAAAAAAAAAAAAAAAAGGUGCUGUUGCUGGAUCAAAAAUGUGGUAACCGUGUCUAUGAGAGAAGAAAGCGUAGAAAAAAAAGAGGAGGAGGAGAUAAGAGAAGACCAAAAAGAAAGUUAAAAGAAAAAGAAAAGCAGGAAAAUAAGUAAGAGAGACAAGGAAAUAUGGUGUUCUCCAAGUCUGCUAGUGAGAGAAGAAAACGCAAGUGAGAGGGGAGAAGAUGUAUAAAAGAAGAGUAGAGGAGAAAGAGAGAGAGAGAGAGAG